rnacentral:lncRNA from 12 species
AUGCCUGGAUUUCAGUCCAGGGAAACCACCCCGGGCUCCAAGUCGGAGGUUUGGGGUCACUUGUCACAGCGGCCCUGGGAAACCAGUACAGGCCAUCUAGGUUCCAGAAUCGGGGAAGGCAGGCAGGAAGCACAGGAAGUGAAGCCUCACCCACCUGGCUCCCCCCAUUGUUUCUUCCUCUCAACAUCAGGGCCAGUAUCCUGCUUCGGUUUCAGUUUCGGUUUCGCAGGAGCACUCACUGAGGACUGGGCAGUAGGAACACAACGAGGAUUCAAAGGCCGGUUCCCCCUCCCCUGCCCUCUUCUCUUUAGAGGAACUUCAGCUCCCACUGCUGUGCCGUGGCAGCAUACAGCUCGGUGGUGUAUUUAA